GGCCGGGCGUUACCUCUGGCUUUUGAACUCCUUCAUGAUCUCCAGGAAGCCGUUGUAGGUGGCCGGGUCGCUGCCGAAGCGGAUCUUCACCUGGUCCAGGCUCCUUUUGGACACAGUACUUGGCUGGAUGUCUGUGAAGAUUAAUCAAGUAAGAAGAGAUUUACCAACAUCUUAAUCUGUCAUAAAUCAAACAGGGAGAUGAAGCCUCUUAUUGCAAGAAACUAACAUUACAGAAAGCCUUCAUCUGGGUUUAGCCAUCAUCAGUCUCAAUCUAAACUGUCAACUUCAGGAGUCUGAAGUGCAUUUUUAGACUAUUCUUCAAGCUUCUGUGAUCAAAACCAGCGAUGUAAUGGAGGAAAAUGUCAGCUCCAUUAAGGUUGCUUAAAAUAUACCAUGCUGGAGAGGUGACAGCAGACACAGUCUGGAGGAUGAGGGCGAUCAGUGCCAUCCAGGCAAACCAAGACUGGAAGAUAGCGACAGAGAAAUAUGUAAUAAUGCUUUUGUUCUAUCAACAUCAAAACAACACUGGAGCCUUGGGAUGAGCCUUGGCAGCACUCUGCAAUGUGCAGUUUGUACCUGUCGUAGUAUUGAUGACAGCAGUCCUCGCCACCAACAAAUCCACUGAUUCAAGCAGUUGGUUACAGUUGGAGCAGAAGUCCCCGGUUAGCAGACAUUUUUGGAAAGUCGAGAUUGCCAGCAUCACUGAGAAGAAUCGAGGUCUGGGCUAAUUGGAGGAGAAACAGCUUGCUUGCUGUAGGAAUGCAGCGUGUUACUUUCUGGUGAGCAGGGAGUUUCUGCAAUUUGCAAAUCAAAACCAAACAAAAUCAACCAACCAAAUCUUUUCCAGGGCCAUUGUGAAUUUCCUUAGGCUAUAAAAACAUUUAAGCCUCUAAACAUAUCAGACCUGUUUUCCUGCAUUCCACGUCUACAGCUUACCUGUAUCCUAAAGAACAUAAAGGAAACAGAUAAGUGUCAAGAAACCCUUAGUGGUACUUCUUCCUUGGAGAAUGUGUGAAAAAUGCAAAUGCUGGGCACGUGUGAACGAGAGGCCAGACUCAAAGCUGUUCUUGAAUGUUGAUCUUAACACUGUCAGAGUGAUAAACUUCUCUUUGUCAGAAAUGUCGCCUCAGAGGUGAGCAGCUAUGAUUUUACUUGACCAGGAGUACUUUGAAGAGCAAAGGCUUUGGCGCUCAGCAGCAGCUGAUAGCAGCACUGUGCUUGAGCACGGAAUGCUUGGACUAGAAAGGAUCUCAAAGCCCACCUGGCCCCACGCCCUGCUGUGCAUUGGUUGCCACUCACCAGGAGGAGGUGGCUGAUAGGAAGCCUCGUGGGAGUGCCCAUGCUGAUUAUGAUGGCCGGUGUGUCCGCCAGAAACAGAGCCAAAGAAAACUGGGCAGAUGAAGCCUUCCACUGGAGCAAAAGGUGAGGCGUGAGAAUGAGUUGCCGUCAUGAAAACCUGCCAUGCAACAGUGGACAGAGUUAAAGACCACAUACACCAGCUUUGAAGAACUAACUAGUAAAGGACAUCCUACUUAGCACAGCAAAUCCAAACAAGACAGUACACGUGUCCCACAGAUGGAAUACCUCCCUUCAUGCAGGGAGGUCCUGCACACAGCCAGCAGUAUUGAGUGCUCGGCAGCUGAGGAGAACUCACCAGAC